AGCNGGCGAGAACCCAAAGGUUCCAACCAUGAAAGCCCGGGCUUGUCAGGGCACAAGAAUCAGCGACGCCCCCCAAAACACAAGUGGGGUUUCGUCCCACGGGGAGCCUCGAAGUUCCAGGGCCCCCGGGCAGGACCCGGGCCCCCCCCCGAAGCAGCCGGAUUAGGUAAAGUUUGACAAAGUUUAGCGACUUCUGCAACGACCUUCCCGUAGGGGNAACCUGCGGAGGGAUCAUUACAGAGUUGCAAAACUCCCUAAACCAUUGUGAACGUUACCUAAACCGUUGCUUCGGCGGGCGGCCCGGGUCCUGCCCGGCGCCCCUCGGCCCUCGCGGGCGCCCGCCGGAGGAAAACCAAACUAUUGCAUUGUAUGGCCUCUCUGAGUCUUCUGUACUGAAUAAGUCAAAACUUUCAACAACGGAUCUCUUGGUUCUGGCAUCGAUGAAGAACGCAGCGAAAUGCGAUAAGUAAUGUGAAUUGCAGAAUUCAGUGAAUCAUCGAAUCUUUGAACGCACAUUGCGCCCGCCAGUAUUCUGGCGGGCAUGCCUGUUCGAGCGUCAUUUCAACCAUCAAGCCCCGGGCUUGUGUUGGGGACCUGCGGCUGCCGCAGGCCCUGAAAUGCAGUGGCGGGCUCGCUGUCACUCCGAGCGUAGUAGUUACAUCUCGCUCUGGGCGUGCUGCGGGUUCCGGCCGUUAAAAGCCUUAUUACCCAAGGUGACCUCGAUCAGUAGGU
rnacentral:rRNA from 1 species